CAGACACACAGUGUCCAUCCUGAUCCUAACAGUGACACGUACACAGCUCUGAACAUGAAGACCAGGUCACCAGAGUAUGACACCCUGGCAAAUGUGAGGGGAAUCUCCAACUGAAGAGAACCACCACAGAACCUGGACUGAAGAGAAGCACCACAGAACCUGGACUGAAGAGAACCAC